rnacentral:rRNA from 1 species
UACGGAGGGUGCAAGCGUUAUCCGGAUUUACUGGGUUUAAAGGGUGCGUAGGUGGGUCUGUAAGUCAGUGGUGAAAUCUCCGAGCUUAACUCGGAAACUGCCAUUGAUACUAUAGGUCUUGAAUUAUCUGGAGGUAAGCGGAAUAUGUCAUGUAGCGGUGAAAUGCUUAGAUAUGACAUAGAACACCAAUUGCGAAGGCAGCUUACUACGGAUACAUUGACACUGAGGCACGAAAGCGUGGGGAUCAAACAGG